UCCCAGGGCAGGACUCCGUCUCGCUUUGCCGCGGUCUGGCAUGUGCAGCAUCCUGGGGCAGGAGCGUUGCGGACAACCAACUAUCAGCUCGAGGGAGCCGUGGUGCACACCCCACAGCCGGGGCCACGCUCAGCUCCUCCUCUGAGCUGCCCUCUAUCGCCGUCCGGCAGCUCCUGGCUGCCCACACCCUCCCAGCCCCGCACCAGAUAGACCACUCGACACCCUCACUGCAACCGGAGAUAACAGCCAGCGCCUGGCCACCAUCGAGAUGCCACAGCCUGUUUCCCACCCCUCUGCAUUUAGCAGAAAUAGGCUGCAGUGUUAGCACUGACGCACUGCUCAGGCAGGUUAGAGGUGCUACUGGACAGGCUUUCCAGAAUCUUUCUCAUCACAGCCUAGAGGCAGCUUUAUACCAGUACAAAUUUGGGCAUCCUCAAACAUAUGUCCUCUGGGGCCCUGCCAGAGCAAGAGGUGACCACAAAAGAGAGAAGGGGGGUGGAAAAUUAGACUCACAAAAAAGAUUCCCUCUGGGGUCUUCUACCCAUGCAGACAAAAUAAAUUAUUAUUAAACCACA